UCGGUAUGAUCAUUCUUUCAUCAGUUUGUUCCCUGUUUCUUCUCUAGCCUGAGCCUGACACACUAUUCUAGCUAGACAUGGGUGUGGCUCGUGACACCUGAUGACCAAAUGGAUCUACGGCACCGUCGAAUCUCAAACUUUAACUGCCAAAACUAUUGUUUUUCAUCCUGUAGUCCCUUUUAGAAUUACGAAACGUCCUUUUUUGGGCCAUGAUUUCCAGGAAUGCUUUCUCGGGGUUUGUGUGCACGUAUUUCAAACCAUACGGACCUAAAAAUUAGAAGUCAUUCCAUCUUUAUUCCCCUAGAGCCUUCCGGCAGUUCCUAAACUGCUCUAUUUGGAGCAUGUUAUCAUUCUUGUUAGUUCUGAGUGAAUUCCCUCGGUAUGAUCAUUCUUUCAUCAGUUUGUUCCCCGUUUCUUCUCUAGUCUGAGCCUAGCACACUAUUCUAGCUAUUAAUGGGUGUGGAUCGUAACACCUGAUGAGCAAACGGAUCUACGGCACCAUCGAAUCUCAAACUUUAACUGCCAAAACUAUUGUUUUUCAUUCUGUAGUCCCUUUUCGAAUUAUUAAACGUCCUUUUUUGGGCCGAGAUUUCCA
rnacentral:lncRNA from 1 species